rnacentral:tRNA from 1 species
GAGGGUAUAGCUCAGUGGUAGAGUGUUUGCCUAGCAAGCACAAGGUCCUGUGUUCAAUUGCCAAUACUGUCA